UUUUAUUUAAAUUUUAAUAAUAUCGCAUUACGCUUCAGCCAUUUGUGGUCCGGAACAUCUUUAACAGUGACAACCAAACUUUUACAAGUUUUACGUUUUUAUAGAUUUUUUGGAAAAAGUUUCGUGCGAUAUCAAGAUCAUUUUGAAAACCCGGAGCAAUUCCCACCGCUGCAGUCAACAGUACUGUUUACUUUAUACGUCCGGGAUUCUAAAUCGCACAGAGUCUUGAAGAAGAGACCUAUGGAUCCAAGUGCUGUAUAAGGUGAAGAUCGGCUACUACUUAACGAGCAAACUAUUCGUGUUGAGCAAUUUCAUCGGAUGAGAUGCAAUUCCAUGGCGAUGGCUCGUACUCUGUUAAAAGGAAUGAUGCAGAAACAACCAAAACAGCAAGACAGCGGAACGGGAUGCCAACAGCAGUCAUUCAACGAAUCAAUAAAUUAAUUAAGGCACACAAAUUGCAAUAGAUUUUCGGGAAGAACAAUAAAAUGUUAAAUAUUUCUGAGUAGUCAUGUAAAUUAUAAAUUUAUUGACAAUUUUGAAAACAAUUACAAUACAAUUUAUUUUAAUAAAAAAAGGCAUCGUGAUAAUAAUGAAAAUAAUUAUUAAAACAAUAAAAAAUUUACGCUAUAUUCUAAAACCAAUCUUAUUGAAUCAAUGAGAGAAAUAUUGUUGAAACAACAAUAUUAUUAUUGUUAGCUAUUCCAACGUUACAGCGUUACCUCUAUAGCAAAGAUUCAUACCAAGGAAUUCAAACAUAUUUUCUUAUUGUUUCAACAAUAUGAUUUUCUAGAGAAUUUUGAAAACAAAAAUAAUUUCUUGUUACCGCCAAAACAAAGUAAAUUUCUGUUUGUCUUUACGUUGAAUAUUGUUGUUUUUAAAAUAUUUUUUUCUGCGUGUAGCACAUUUAUGUCCUGCUUCUUCAAAAAUUCAACAAAGGUAUGCGAGUUGAAUGGAGGACCACCAUCAGAGACUAAAACAUCAGGUAACCCGAAACGGGCAAAAAAUGCUAUCAAUUUCCUUAAGACUUUACCGCAGUCAGUACCUGUCUUCAUCCAAUCUAUUUCUACCCAUUUCGAGUGACUGUCCACAAUAAGUGAAAAUGUGUGAUGUGAAUAAGUGAAAAUGUGAAAUGAAAGAAAUCGAUGUGUACCCUACUGAACGGCCUUCAGUAGGAAUCCAUUGAAAUUUUUCUGAAGGUUUAAUGGGAAUUGCCAUACUAUUAUACUCUUC